AAUUAACGCUGGCGGCAUGCCUAACACAUGCAAGUCGCACGAGAAAGCCCGGUUCGCCGGGCGAGUAAAGUGGCGCACGGGUGAGUAACGCGUGGAUAAUCUACCUCUUUCUGGGGGAUAACGCACCGAAAGGUGCGCUAAUACCGCAUAACCCGGCGAAAUUUCGGUUUUGUCGGUAAAGGUGGCCUCUUCAUGAAAGCUACCGGGAAGAGAUGAGUCCGCGUCCCAUUAGCUUGUUGGUGGGGUAAUGGCCUACCAAGGCUCCGAUGGGUAGCUGGUCUGAGAGGACGAUCAGCCACACUGGAACUGGAACACGGUCCAGACUCCUACGGGAGGCAG
rnacentral:rRNA from 1 species